UACGUAGGGGGCUAGCGUUGUCCGGAAUCAUUGGGCGUAAAGCGCGUGUAGGCGGCUCGAUAAGUCUGCUGUGAAAGUCCAGGGCUCAACCCUGGAAUGCCGGUGGAAACUGUCGGGCUAGAGUCCGGAAGAGGCGAGUGGAAUUCCUGGUGUAGCGGUGAAAUGCGCAGAUAUCAGGAAGAACACCCGUGGCUAAGGCGGCUCUCUAGUACGGUACUGACGCUGAGACGCGAAAGCGUGGGGAGCGAACAGG
rnacentral:rRNA from 1 species